rnacentral:rRNA from 1 species
AUUGAACGCUGGCGGCAUGCUUUACACAUGCAAGUCGAACGGUAACAGGGAGCUUGCUCCGCUGACGAAUGGCGAACGGGUGAGUAAUAUAUCGGAACGUACCCAGAAGUGGGGGAUAACGUAGCGAAAGUUACGCUAAUACCGCAUUCGAUCCACGGAUGAAAGUAGGGGACCUUCGGGCCUUAUGCUUUUGGAGCGGCCGAUAUCUGAUUAGCUAGUUGGUGAGGUAAAGGCUCACCAAGGCGACGAUCAGUAGCUGGUCUGAGAGGACGACCAGCCACACUGGAACUGAGACACGGUCCAGACUCCUACGGGAGGCAGCAGUGGGGAAUUUUGGACAAUGGGCGCAAGCCUGAUCCAGCAAUGCCGCGUGAGUGAAGAAGGCCUUCGGGUUGUAAAGCUCUUUUGUCAGGGAAGAAACGGCUGUGGCUAAUAUCCACGGUUAAUGACGGUACCUGAAGAAUAAGCACCGGCUAACUACGUGCCAGCCGCCGCUGUAAUAC